rnacentral:rRNA from 1 species
GUAAAAGUCGUAACAAGGUUUCCGUAGGUGAACCUGCGGAAGGAUCAUUAUUGAAUAAACUUGAUGUGGUUGUAGCUGACUCUCUAGGGAGUAUGUGCACGCCCGUCAUCUUUAUAUUUCCACCUGUGCACCUUUUGUAGACCCAGAAGGCUUCGCAUGAAGUCAUUUGGGCCUAUGUUUAUCAUAUACCCCAUUGUAUGUAUCAGAAUGUAUUAGUGGGCUUCAUGCCUAUAAACACUAUACAACUUUCAGCAACGGAUCUCUUGGCUCUCGCAUCGAUGAAGAACGCAGCGAAAUGCGAUAAGUAAUGUGAAUUGCAGAAUUCAGUGAAUCAUCGAAUCUUUGAACGCACCUUGCGCUCCUUGGUAUUCCGAGGAGCAUGCCUGUUUGAGUGUCAUUAAAUUCUCAACCUCUCUAGUUUUUUGACUAGUAGAUGGCUUGGAUUUGGGAGUUAUUUUGCAGGCUUUCACAAGUCAGCUCUCCUUAAAUGUAUUAGCCGGUGCCCUCUAAACCGUCUAUUGGUGUGAUAAUUAUCUACGCCGUGGACUAUUAGACUUUGGUUGCGCUGCUUAUAAUCGUCCUCUGGACAAUAUUAUGACAUUUUGACCUCAAAUCAGGUAGGACUACCCGCUGAACUUAAGCAUAUCAAUAAGCGGAGGAAAAGAAACUAACAAGGAUUCCCCUAGUAACUGCGAGUGAAGCGGGAAAAGCUCAAAUUUAAAAUCUGGUAGUCUUUGGCUGCCCGAGUUGUAAUCUAGAGAAGUGUUAUCCGCGUUGGACCGUGUACAAGUCUCCUGGAAUGGAGCGUCAUAGAGGGUGAGAAUCCCGUCUUUGACACGGACUACCAGUGCUUUGUGAUGCGCUCUCAAAGAGUCGAGUUGUUUGGGAAUGCAGCUCAAAAUGGGUGGUAAAUUCCAUCUAAAGCUAAAUAUUGGCGAGAGACCGAUAGCGAACAAGUACCGUGAGGGAAAGAUGAAAAGAACUUUGGAAAGAGAGUUAAACAGUACGUGAAAUUGCUGAAAGGGAAACGCUUGAAGUCAGUCGCGUUGUCUGGGGAUCAACCUUGCUUUUGCUGGGUGUACUUUCCAGAUGACGGGUCAGCAUCAAUUUUGACCGUUGGAUAAAGUGUAAGGAAAUGUGGCAUCUUCGGGUGUGUUAUAGUCCUUGCUCGCAUACAACGGUUGGGAUUGAGGAACUCAGUACGCCGCAAGGCCGAGAAUUUAUUCUACGUUCGUACUUAGGAUGCUGGCAUAAUGGCUUUAAUCGACCCGUCUUGAAACACGGACCAAGGAGUCUAACAUGCCUGCGAGUGUUUGGGUGGAAAACCCGAGCGCGUAAUGAAAGUGAAAGUUGAGAUCCCUGUCGUGGGGAGCAUCGACGCCCGGACCAGACCUUUUGUGACGGAUCUGCGGUAGAGCAUGUAUGUUGGGACCCGAAAGAUGGUGAACUAUGCCUGAAUAGGGUGAAGCCAGAGGAAACUCUGGUGGAGGCUCGUAGCGAUUCUGACGUGCAAAUCGAUCGUCAAAUUUGGGUAUAGGGGCGAAAGACUAAUCGAACCAUCUAGUAGCUGGUUCCUGCCGAAGUUUCCCUCAGGAUAGCAGAAACUCAUUUCAGAUUUAUGUGGUAAAGCGAAUGAUUAGAGGCCUUGGGGUUGAAACAACCUUAACCUAUUCUCAAACUUUAAAUAUGUAAGAACGAGCCGUCUCUUGAUUGGACCGCUCGGCGAUUGAGAGUUUCUAGUGGGCCAUUUUUGGUAAGCAGAACUGGCGAUGCGGGAUGAACCGAACGCGAGGUUAAGGUGCCGGAAUUCACGCUCAUCAGACACCACAAAAGGUGUUAGUUCAUCUAGACAGCAGGACGGUGGCCAUGGAAGUCGGAAUCCGCUAAGGAGUGUGUAACAACUCACCUGCCGAAUGAACUAGCCCUGAAAAUGGAUGGCGCUUAAGCGUGAUACCCAUACCUCGCCGUCAGCGUUGAAGUGACGCGCUGACGAGUAGGCAGGCGUGGAGGUCAGUGAAGAAGCUUGGCAGUAAUGCU